rnacentral:rRNA from 1 species
UACAGAGGUCCCAAGCGUUGUUCGGAUUCAUUGGGCGUAAAGGGUGCGUAGGUGGCGUCGUAAGUCGGGUGUGAAAUCUCGGGGCUUAACUCCGAAACUGCAUUCGAUACUGCGGUGCUUGAGGACUGGAGAGGAGACUGGAAUUUACGGUGUAGCAGUGAAAUGCGUAGAGAUCGUAAGGUAGACCAGUGGCGAAGGCGGGUCUCUGGACAGUUCCUGACACUGAGGCACGAAGGCCAGGGGAGCAAACGGG